rnacentral:rRNA from 1 species
CCUACGGGUGGCAGCAGUGAGGAAUAUUGGUCAAUGGACGAGAGUCUGAACCAGCCAAGUAGCGUGAAGGAUGACUGCCCUAUGGGUUGUAAACUUCUUUUAUAAAGGAAUAAAACGAGGCACGUGUGCCUUUUUGCAUGUACUUUAUGAAUAAGGAUCGGCUAACUCCGUGCCAGCAGCCGCGGUAAUACGGAGGAUCCGAGCGUUAUCCGGAUUUAUUGGGUUUAAAGGGAGCGUAGAUGGGUUGUUAAGUCAGUUGUGAAAGUUUGCGGCUCAACCGUAAAAUUGCAAUUGAUACUGGCAGUCUAGAGUACAGUUGAGGUAGGCGGAAUUCGUGGUGUAGCGGUGAAAUGCUUAGAUAUCACGAAGAACCCCGAUUGCGAAGGCAGCUUACUAAACUGUGACUGACAUUGAUGCUCGAAAGUGUGGGUAUCAAACAGGAUUAGAUACCCUUGUAGUC